CACGCAGGCGGUUUCUUAAGUCAGAUGUGAAAGCCCCGGGCUCAACCUGGGAAUUGCAUUUGAAACUGGGAAACUAGAGUACGUGAGAGGGGGGUAGAAUUCCAAGUGUAGCGGUGAAAUGCGUAGAGAUUUGGAGGAAUACCAGUGGCGAAGGCGGCCCCCUGGCACGAUACUGACGCUCAGGUGCGAAAGCGUGGGGAGCAAACAGGAUUAGAUACCCCCGUA
rnacentral:rRNA from 1 species